rnacentral:RNase_P_RNA from 2 species
GAGUGGCGGUGGGCGGCUGUCCGAAAGGAGGAAAGUCCCCCCACCGCUAAAAGGCGGACCCCCGCAAGGGGGUGUGCCGAGAGGCACGGCAACGGCACAGAAACGAUACCCGCUUGGGGAAAUGCAAGGAGGCCGAAAGGCUGAGGUCACCCAAGCGGGAUGAAACGGCCGUCCCCGCCGGUGCAAGGGCUUAGCCCGCUUAGACCAAUGCCGCCGAGAAACAGAAGGGGGCUUACUACCGCCACUC